ACCUCAGUUCGGAUUGAAGGCUGAAAUUCGCCUUCAUGAAGUCGGAAUUGCUAGUAAUGGCAGGUCAGCAUACUGCCGUGAAUACGUUCCCGGGCCUUGUACACACCGCCCGUCACACCAUGAGAGUUGGAGAUACCCGAAGCCUAUGAGCUAACUUUUAGAGGCAGUAGUCGAAGGUAGAAUCAAUGAUUGGGGUGAAGUCGUAACAAGGUACC
rnacentral:rRNA from 1 species